UAGGGAAUCUUCGGCAAUGGACGGAAGUCUGACCGAGCAACGCCGCGUGAGUGAAGAAGGUUUUCGGAUCGUAAAGCUCUGUUGUAAGAGAAGAACGAGUGUGAGAGUGGAAAGUUCACACUGUGACGGUAUCUUACCAGAAAGGGACGGCUAACUACGUGCCAGCAGCCGCGGUAAUACGUAGGUCCCGAGCGUUGUCCGGAUUUAUUGGGCGUAAAGCGAGCGCAGGCGGUUAGAUAAGUCUGAAGUUAAAGGCUGUGGCUUAACCAUAGUACGCUUUGGAAACUGUUUAAAAUUUGGUGGGAAAGGGGAGAGUGGAAUUCCAUGUGUAGCGGUGAAAUGCGUAGAUAUAUGGAGGAACACCGGUGGCGAAAGCGGCUCUCUGGCUUGUAACUGACGCUGAGGCUCGAAAGCGUGGGGAGCAAACAGGAUUAGAUACCCUGGUAGUCCACGCCGUANCGAUGAGUGCUAGGUGUUAGACCCUUUCCGGGGUUUAGUGCCGCAGCUAACGCAUUAAGCACUCCGCCUGGGGAGUACGACCGCAAGGUU
rnacentral:rRNA from 1 species